GGGCUGGGGCUCAGUGGUAGGGCACUUGCCUAGUAUGUAUGAGGCACUGGGUUUGAUUCUCAGCACCACA
rnacentral:tRNA from 1 species